UACGAAGGGGGCGAGCGUUGUUCGGAAUUACUGGGCGUAAAGGGCGCGUAGGCGGUUUGCCACGUCAGAUGUGAAAGCCCCGGGCUCAACCUGGGAACCGCAUUUGACACGGGCCGACUCGAGUUCGGGAGAGGAUAGUGGAAUUCCCAGUGUAGAGGUGAAAUUCGUAGAUAUUGGGAAGAACACCGAUGGCGAAGGCAGCUAUCUGGACCGACACUGACGCUGAGGCGCGAAAGCGUGGGGAGCAAACAGG
rnacentral:misc_RNA from 1 species